rnacentral:pre_miRNA from 1 species
UAUAAUUAUCAGCACCGUCCAAAUGUCAAACACUGAUACUUUUGAGAGGUGCAGGUAAUUAUA